GACGAACGCUGGCGGCGUGCUUAACACAUGCAAGUCGAACGGUAAGGCCCUUCGGGGUACACGAGUGGCGAACGGGUGAGUAACACGUGGGUGAUCUGCCCUGCACUUCGGGAUAAGCCUGGGAAACUGGGUCUAAUACCGGAUAGGACCACUGCCUGCAUGGGUGGUGGUGGAAAGCUUUUGCGGUGUGGGAUGGGCGCGCGGCCUAUCAGCUUGUUGGUGGGGUGAUGGCCUACCUAGGCGAGGACGGGUGGCCGGCCUGGGAGGGUGACCGGCCACACUGGGACUGGGAUACGGGACAGACUCCUACGAGAGGCAGCGGUGGGGAAUAUUGCGCAAUGGGCGGAAGCCAGAUGCGGCGAGACGGCGUGAGGGAUGACGGCUUUCGGGUUGUAAACCGCUUUAAGCACCGACGAAGCGCAAGUGACAGUAGGUGCAGAAGAAGGACCGGCCAACUACGUGCCAGCAGCCGCCGUAA
rnacentral:rRNA from 1 species